rnacentral:hammerhead_ribozyme from 1 species
AUCCAACUGACGAGUCCCAAAUAGGACGAAACACGCGUCCUGAAU